rnacentral:rRNA from 1 species
UGGGGAAUAUUGCACAAUGGGGGGAACCCUGAUGCAGCGACGCCGCGUGAGCGAUGAAGGAAUUCGUUUCGUAAAGCUCUGUCCUUGGAGAAGAUAAUGACGGUAACCAAGGAGGAAGCACCGGCUAAAUACGUGCCAGCAGCCGCGGUAAUACGUAUGGUGCGAGCGUUGUCCGGAAUUAUUGGGCGUAAAGGGUACGUAGGCGGUUUGACAAGUCAGAUGUUAAAACUUGAGGCUUAACCUCAUGUUGCAUUUGAAACUGUCAAACUUGAGUAGUGGAGAGGAAAGUGGAAUUCCUAGUGUAGCGGUGAAAUGCGUAGAUAUUAGGAGGAAUACCAGUAGCGAAGGCGACUUUCUGGACACAAACUGACGCUGAGGUACGAAAGCGUGGGGAGCAAACAUG